GUCCUUCACAAAAAAAAAUAUAAAAAGGAAAAAUUGUACUACUUCGGUUAUUUGUGAACCAAGGCAAAAUAUUACUCUUUCUUGCCUCGGUUCACAACCGAGGCAAAAAGCCUAUCCCUUUUUGCCUCGUCUGUAUAUGCCUCAGUUGCGGAAUUGCUCCCUAUAGCCAAAAAUAACUGUUUUCGUUUUCCUCGACUGGACUAGUGAGAAAAUCUCUUUCCCACAUCACACGGCUGAAGAGAAUCUCUUUCCCACAUCACAUGGUCAAAAGAGUCAACAGUACCUAAGCCAUCCUCUUCCAGCAUCACACAGCCAAAGAGAAUCCCUUUCCAACAUCACAUGGUCAAAAGAGUCAUCAAUGCUUGAAUCCAUUCUCUUCCCGCAUCACACGACAGAAAAUAAAUUUUUCUCGAAUCGCACGGCCAAAAGAGUUAUUCAUACUCAAAUCAUAUUGUUCAACAACCUUACUCACCAAUUAAUUCUCAUUAUAUUAUAUGCCUAAUCUCGUUCAUGCGUAUUUUCUCACAAAACAUGGAAUUCGCUAACAUCAUCAUAAUUAUUUAAUUCAAUUAAAUAAUCACCACACACAAUUACUCUCGAAUGAACCUCCUUUGGCUCACUAAAUCAUAUUUUCUAUAACACCAUACUUAUAACAUUUUCAAGCUUAAUCUCCAUAAUAUGUAUCACUAACCAAUCCUUUGUCAAAAUAAACAACAUCAUAAUCUGCUGACCCUGAUUAAAUCAAGAAUAGAACCCAAGUUCAUUUACAAAGGUCUCACUGAAUACUACUAGUUUAUCUAAACCUAUCAAAGCGCUCAUCAAUUCACUUGUUCACGUACUCUUGGAUGAAACUGCUGCCCCCAUGCAUUCCAAUUCCCUAUAAAUUAAUUACGACCUCCCUCCAAUAACACUGCAAACAAAAAUCUCCCCGCUUAAUUCUCUUUCUUUUAUCAUCAAUUCAGUAGGACCCACGCAUGCAAUUACCCAACCACACUCCAACUCUUUUGUAGUUCCCCAAAGCCCACCACCCCUCAUUUCACACAAGAGAAAUGAUUCUUUGGCACACCUAAAUUUUUUACAUUCAUUUGACACUAUCCUUACUUACUUUUUACUCUUUUUUUUCUUGAAAAACUACAAAACUUUAUACUUUUUGGACCAUUUUACCCUUAUAUGCUAUGUCAAAUGAAUGUAAAAGUGUGUCAUGGUAUUAUUACUCUUCACACAAUACCCUUCCUCUUUUCCUAUCUUUUCUCUCACUCAACAAACCAGCCUCUCCCUCUUUCUUCUAAACCCAUGCAUUCAAAACUCUUCCAGACUUACUCCAUCCAAUCUCACUACUCUUCACAGCAUCAACAAACUCCCACUACUCCACUAAUUCCUCCCUCUCCCACUUCUUCUUUCAACCCUAGGUCAUGACCUAUAAUUCUCCAAAUUUAUUCAAACUUGUAUUUGUCCUUGUAAGUCUUACAUUCUAAUUUUAGAAAAUCUUCAUCAGCACCCAUUCCAUUCAUUUGCUUCUUAUCUUUCUUUUUCACUAACACCUACUGAUAACGGUCUAAAAAACGUUAUUUUCAUGCUUAAAUAUAAUAUCGAA
rnacentral:lncRNA from 1 species